rnacentral:rRNA from 1 species
GAUGAACGCUGGCGGCGUGCCUAAUACAUGCAAGUCGAGCGAACAGACGAGGAGCUUGCUCCUCUGACGUUAGCGGCGGACGGGUGAGUAACACGUGGAUAACCUACCUAUAAGACUGGGAUAACUUCGGGAAACCGGAGCUAAUACCGGAUAAUAUAUUGAACCGCAUGGUUCAAUAGUGAAAGACGGUUUUGCUGUCACUUAUAGAUGGAUCCGCGCCGCAUUAGCUAGUUGGUAAGGUAACGGCUUACCAAGGCAACGAUGCGUAGCCGACCUGAGAGGAUGAGCAGACACACUGGGACUCAGACACGCCCCAGACUCCUACGGGGGGGGGCAGUGGAGAAGUUUGGACAGAGGGCGAAAGCCUAAUACAGCAAUGCCAAGGGUGUGAAAAAGGUCUUCGGGUUGGAAAGCACUUUUUGACGGAAAGAAAUCCUUGGACCUAGUCCGGCCGGGUGAUGACGGUACCGGAAGAAUAAGCGCCGGCUAACUACGUG